rnacentral:rRNA from 1 species
AAUACGACUCUCGGCAACGGAUAUCUCGGCUCUCGCAUCGAUGAAGAACGUAGCGAAAUGCGAUACUUGGUGUGAAUUGCAGAAUCCCGUGAACCAUCGAGUCUUUGAACGCAAGUUGCGCCCAAGGCCUUUUGGUCGGAGGGCACAUCUGCUUGGGCGUUAA